rnacentral:lncRNA from 1 species
AUGCCAAUUAUGUCACUUAUAUUAAAGACAAUAGUUUCCUUCUGUAUUCAGACUGCCCACUGUAGUGGCUUAUCUCACAGGACUUUCCCAGACCUGCUGUGCCCCUCUACUGCAUGUGAUGUUGAAGCCCUUGAACUUGGCAGCUUCCUUUGUGAUCUGAGGUUCUGGUCAGUGGAGAACAGCUCAGCCCUGCCAGACAGCUGGGAAGUGUCCUGGCUCUGGAAGACAUACAUGGCAAAAGCACCCAUCAGCCAUUUUUCCUUGUGACAGCUCAUAAAAUGCUGCCUAAUAGUUCCUUUGUAAGUAUGAGAAAAUACUGACACAGUGUCAAAAAACUAAAAAAAAAAAAAAAAGAUGAUUAUUCCUCUGGAUGAGCCUACAAUGGGUCCCACUGGACAAGAGCUUUUGUUGGAAGAACUAUAGAUACUGAUGAUUCCACAGGUGAGUGGUACUGAGUUAGCAGGUAGGGGUAAGGCAGUUUAUUUAGUGGCUGCAGCCUUUAGAACUUAAUCUUCUCCAUUAUCCAGUAAGCUAGAGAGUUCAUAUUAGGAAUAUUUUUCCUUUAGCUUUGAGAAGCCAGAGAAUGGUCCAGAAAAAUGUGAUCUCAAUGUGCCCUCAGAUUCAUUCCCCCAUCUCCUUCUCUGCUUUCCAUGGCAGAGAGGCUCAGCCCUGCCUGCAGGCUAAUUCCCAGACUCUCCUGUUCAGUUGGCAUCUGGCUUUUGGGCAUUGCAAGACACUGGCAAGAGGUUGCAGGUGGGGUUGGGGAGUUGAGGUGCAGGAGGAAGGGUGCACACAGGGCAGCUCUCUGCAUUGAACGGCUUCUCCAGCCGUAGCUGCAUCUCCCCUUUGGCUCAGCUCCCACUGGACAGGUCUGCUGUGGUGCCAGCUCCUGGCUCUGGGCUCUGGAAACUCCAAUACUUCCUUCGUCUCUCUGCUGUUGUUAAUCUCUGCUUGGCUUCACUAUCUCUUGUUUGGCUUCCAACUCUUCUAUCACCCUUGUAACUACUUCCAACUAUGGAUUUUCCUUAAAAAAAAAAAAAAUAGAAUGGUUUCCUUGUUGGACCCUGACUAUUACAAGAAGAUGGUUGGGAAGACACUAAAUAUAUUCAAAUACUUUGCAAACAAUAAAUGCAGUGAACAUUUGCUACUAGAGUACCUU